rnacentral:tRNA from 1 species
GCAGACGUGGCGGAAUUGGCAGACGCGCUAGAUUAAGGUUCUAGUGUCCACCAUAACAUGAGGGUUCAAGUCCCUCCGUCUGUACCA